GCGUCGGUGGCGGAGUGGUCAAUCGCACUUGGCUGUAAACCAAGCGGCUAUAUGCCUACGGGGGUUCAAAUCCCUCCCGGCGCACAA
rnacentral:tRNA from 1 species